rnacentral:rRNA from 1 species
GGGUUGUGAGGUUAAGCGAAUAAGCGUACACGGUGGAUGCCUAGGCAGUCAGAGGCGAUGAAGGACGUGCUAAUCUGCGAAAAGCGUCGGUAAGCUGAUAUGAAGCGCCAUAACCGGCGAUGUCCGAAUGGGGAAACCCAGUGCAAUGCGUUGCACUAUCAUUAACUGAAUCCAUAGGUUAAUGAGGCGAACCGGGGGAACUGAAACAUCUCAGUACCCCGAGGAAAAGAAAUCAACCGAGAUUCCCCCAGUAGCGGCGAGCGAACGGGGAGCAGCCCAGAACCAGCAUCAGCGAUGCCAUCAGAGGAACGGUCUGGAAAGGCCGGCGAGAGAGGGUGACAGCCCCGUACUCGAAGGUGGUAUGGCUGUGAGUUCGACGAGUAAGGCGGGACACGAGAAAUCCUGUCUGAAGAUGGGGGGACCAUCCUCCAAGGCUAAAUACUCCUGACUGACCGAUAGUGAACCAGUACCGUGAGGGAAAGGCGAAAAGAACCCCGGCGAGGGGAGUGAAAGAGAACCUGAAACCGUGUACGUACAAGCAGUGGGAGCCUUGAUUCGUCAGGGUGACUGCGUACCUUUUGUAUAAUGGGUCAGCGACUUAUAUUCUGUAGCAAGGUUAACCGUAUAGGGGAGCCGCAGGGAAACCGAGUCUUAACUGGGCGAAUGAGUUGCAGGGUAUAGACCCGAAACCCGGUGAGCUAGCCAUGGGCAGGUUGAAGGUUGGGUAACACUAACUGGAGGACCGAACCGACUAAUGUUGAAAAAUUAGCGGAUGACCUGUGGCUGGGGGUGAAAGGCCAAUCAAACCGGGAGAUAGCUGGUUCUCCCCGAAAGCUAUUUAGGUAGCGCCUCGUGAAGUCAUCUUCGGGGGUAGAGCACUGUUUCGGCUAGGGGGCCAUCCCGGCUUACCAACCCGAUGCAAACUGCGAAUACCGAAGAAUGGUAUCACGGGAGACACACGGCGGGUGCUAACGUCCGUCGUGAAGAGGGAAACAACCCAGACCGCCAGCUAAGGUCCCAAAGUCAUGGUUAAGUGGGAAACGAUGUGGGAAGGCCCAGACAGCCAGGAUGUUGGCUUAGAAGCAGCCAUCAUUGAAAGAAAGCGUAAUAGCUCACUGGUCGAGUCGGCCUGCGCGGAAGAUGUAACGGGGCUAAACCAUGCACCGAAGCUGCGGCAUUCAGAGGACAGAUUUCAGACGACAGAGGACGGAUUAAUGUCAUAUGGAUUCGAGCGAUUGGAAGUGUUUAAGAAAGCUUACCGAAUUUCAUUAGAGAUUCAUCAGGCGAGUUUGGCAUUUCCUCGGUACGAACAAUAUGGAUUAGCAGACCAAGUAAGGCGGGCAAGUAAGGGUAUUUGUGCCAAUCUUGCCGAGGGCUUUGGUAAGCAACAUUAUUCCAAACCUGAGUUUAGACGUUUCAUUAGUAUAGCCUUAGGGAGUGCUGAUGAGAUGCGUGUCUGGUUAAGAUACUGUCUGGAUUUAGGUUAUAUUACUGCGGUUCAGUGGCAGGAAUGGCGUGACAGCUAUGAAGAGAUAGCGAAAAUGCUGACCGGACUGGGACGUCAUCUGUAAGCUGUAUUCUGACGUCUGUUCUCUGGAUGGGUAGGGGAGCGUUCUGUAAGCCGUUGAAGGCGGCGCUGUGAGGCCCGCUGGAGGUAUCAGAAGUGCGAAUGCUGACAUAAGUAACGAUAAAGCGGGUGAAAAACCCGCUCGCCGGAAGACCAAGGGUUCCUGUCCAACGUUAAUCGGGGCAGGGUGAGUCGACCCCUAAGGCGAGGCCGAACGGCGUAGCUGAUGGGAAACAGGUUAAUAUUCCUGUACUGAAUGUGACUGCGAAGGGGGGACGGAGAAGGCUAGGCCAUCCGGGCGACGGUCGUCCCGGUUUAAGCGUGUAGGUGGGAGGAGCAGGCAAAUCCGCUCUUCUUUAACACUGAGGCGUGAUGACGAGCUGCUACGGCAGUGAAGUGGUUGAUGCCCGGCUUCCAGGAAAAGCCUCUAAGCAUCAGGUCAUAUUGAAUCGUACCCCAAACCGACACAGGUGGUCAGGUAGAGCAUACUCAGGCGCUUGAGAGAACUCGGGUGAAGGAACUAGGCAAAAUGGUGCCGUAACUUCGGGAGAAGGCACGCUGGCAGUAGGUGAAGGAGUUUGCCUCCGGAGCCGAAGCCAGUCGCAGAGACCAGCUGGCUGCAACUGUUUAUUAAAAA